rnacentral:rRNA from 1 species
AGAGUUUGAUCAUGGCUCAGAUUGAACGCUGGCGGCAGGCUUAACACAUGCAAGUCGAGCGGAAACGAUAGUAGCUUGCUACUAGGCGUCGAGCGGCGGACGGGUGAGUAAUACUUAGGAAUCUGCCCAGUAGUGGGGGAUAGCUCGGGGAAACUCGAAUUAAUACCGCAUACACCCUACGGGGAAAAGGGGGCGCUUGCGCUCUCGCUAUUGGAUGAGCCUAAGUCGGAUUAGCUAGUUGGUGGGGUAAAGGCCUACCAAGGCGACGAUCUGUAGCUGGUCUGAGAGGAUGAUCAGCCACACCGGGACUGAGGCACGGCCCGGACUCCUACGGGAGGCAGCAGUGGGGAAUAUUGGACAAUGGGGGCAACCCUGAUCCAGCCAUGCCGCGUGUGUGAAGAAGGCCUUUUGGUUGUAAAGCACUUUAAGCAGUGAAGAAGACCUUAUGGUUAAUACCCAUAAGCGAUGACAUUAGCUGCAGAAUAAGCACCGGCUAACUCUGUGCCAGCAGCCGCGGUAAUACAGAGGGUGCAAGCGUUAAUCGGAAUUACUGGGCGUAAAGCGAGCGUAGGUGGUUUAAUAAGUCAGAUGUGAAAUCCCCGGGCUUAACCUGGGAACUGCAUCUGAUACUGUUAGGCUAGAGUAGGUGAGAGGGAGGUAGAAUUUCAGGUGUAGCGGUGAAAUGCGUAGAGAUCUUGAAGGAACACCGAUGGCGAAUGCAG